AUGUAAACUUAAUAUUUUUAUUAUAAAAAUUAUUAUCAUAUUAUAUAUAUUUUGCUCCCACUAUCAAAAUUUUUUGGAUCCGUCACUGCAUAUUAUAUAUCUUGUGUGUUGUAUAAAUAUUGGCAUCUCUGGUGGGAUGGCAAAAUAAUUUGAUCGAGGAUAGAUACUUAUAACUAAAAGUGAAAAGAAAAAUGAUGAAAUUUUUUUAAGAUAAACCAACUAUUAUUUCUGUUUUAUUAUUUAUUGUGGUUUUCAUAAGAAAUGACUUUGUAAAUUUCUUACCAAUAUCCAAUAUGAAAGGUGAACCGUCAAAAUCGCCCUUGAUUUUUUAAAAUACAAACAAAAAUACUUUUUCACUUUUGAUAACGAACAAAAUAUCUUUAAACUAUUAUAAAACACAAUAAAAAUAACUAAAAAUAAUAUUUUUUAGAGUCAAUAGUCAUUCUGACACUUAAAAAAUUCUGUUUUUGUUAAAAUAGACCCCAAAAUUUAUUUUUGAUAAAAUGAAUCCAAAAAAAUAUGUACUAUUUGACAAAAUAGCCUCAACGUAACUCUUCGACGUUAACGGAAAUGUCUAAGUGGCACGUUAAGGGCUUACCUAAAGGAUUAGAGUGAUUUACGUGGGGUUGAUUCACAUUUUAACCUGAAGAAAACCCUAAGUUCCAAAUUGAGUAGGUGGUGGAGCAAAAAUGAAAAAGAAAUCUUUGUUGACAGAGAACAACGUUUUUAUCUGCGAGACAACUAUGAGGGCUGAAGAAGGGAAAAACCAUUUGAUGAAACCUGCUUAUGCUGUUAGGAGGUUUAAUUCGGGUCAACCCUUGAUGUUGAUUUUUUUGACAGAAAUUGAGAAUGGGAUGUGGCCAUGUGAGUAUUUUGUUUGGAUUGAUGAAGAGGAAGAAGACAUUAAAAAAAAUUAAAUUGAAUGUUGAAAGGAGUAAAGCGAUGAAAAGUUUGGACAAUGAGAGAAUUACAAGGCAACAGCUAUGAGGUCAUUUGUGUUUGAACAGUACAUGAGGAGGAUAGAGACUUUGUUGUUGGUGCUUGUAAUUGGGGUAGCUAUAGUUAUAUUUAUGAACAUGUUCUCUUUAUUUAGGUAGUGAGAGUGUUGUUGUUGUAUGAUAGUAAAAAUUAGUAAUAGAGAAUGCUACUUUUAGGUGUGAUGAAUGUUGAAUUUGUAUCCAAAAUGAAUAUGUAUUUCCUGAACAUGUGCUAAAUGCAACAAUGACGAUUCUUUAUCAGA